CAUAGUGGAUGUCGUGAGCCGAACGGAUCAACCGGCAAAAUUCAAUUCUGACUUCUGAGCACCUCGAUGUUUGUAGAAUGUCGAUAUUCGACCUGUCUUUGAUCACCAAAGACAGAUAACUCAAUGGGUAACUUUGCUGCUGAGCGAGACUGUAAGAUGAUAACUUAUUUUGAUUCCAUUUUGUUUCUUUGUCACAAUGUCCGGAAUUGCUGGUGUAAUAUUUGCUCAUGGUAUGCAAUUAUAUAUUUGCACAAAUUGAUGAAUUAGCAAUGUUUCUUCACGAGCUUUUGUUGUCUCUGUUUUACAGAACAAACAACUUUUUAUUAUUUUUGAAUCUAUUAAGAACCAAAUAAUUACCUUAUUUUUAUAGUCGAACAGUUAAUACAAAUAAUUUUCAAGGACUUGGUUAGGACUGAUGAUGUGGAGCAAGUAAGAUAGUUGAUGUGCUUUUUAGGAGAAUAGGUUAGGAAUUUAUGCUCUCCUUUUAUAUUACAGUGGUAGUUGGUUAAAGAUUGGUAGUUGUCUGUUUGGUGUUGGUAAAGUGUUCCUACACUGUGGACUGAUGUUAAGAUAGUUUCUGUCUUCACUCUGAAAAAAUGAUAGGUUUGCUUCACGUGAGGAAGUGCGGAAAAUAUUCUCUUUGCACCAUUGUGUAUGUUUUCUGUUAGUAGCCUGUUCUUAGCUAUUUCUCUUGAUCCCACCGGUUGUGUAUGAGCUGACUUCCUUCUGCAAUUGUAGAUUCGGUAGGUUUUUUUUUUCUAUUGAACUGUGAAGCUUGUGUCAACUUGAGCUCAUUUUAUUUAGUUUACUUAUCAUUGUCUACUAAUUGGAAACUCUAGGAUUAUUGUUUCUGUUCUGAGAAGCUUCUUAUUUCUGAUUCUCCUAUUAUUUGCAGCAUAAUACAAAAUUUGUAUUUGUUUAUGCUGAUGAUUGCUGGAACCCGCUGCUUCUUCACCACCUCCUGCAGACGCCAAUGCCAAUGCUGCACCCGAGGUCCGCCACCUACGCUAGCCUGCCCUCUUCAACACACCAGCCACCGCUCGGUCGCCGGUGUGCUUCUCAGGAGGUCUAACCCAGUCAUUUCCCUUUCAUUUGUUUUCUGUAGAAUGGCUAUCAUUUCUUAUAAAUGUCCCUCAAAAAAUUAUUUCGUAUAAAUGAUUCCUCUUUAGAUCACUACCAGCAUGGAUAAACUUGUAAAUGAAUUUGCUGUAGAAAAAUCAGAAAAAGAGUUGGCUAUUGUGUUAGAGAUUUUAUGAAGAAUAAAUGAAUGCUGCUGGAAGAUUCUAAAAGUAAUUCAAAGAAUUACCCUAUUGUACCACAAUUCCUGUUCUCAAAGUAUACUGACAGAGGAUUGGUCAAUGAGCUCAAGUGGAGGUCUAAUCAACAUCCUACUUCCAGUUGAUUGAGGAAAUGAGGAGAUUGAUGAGUGUGCGACCGAUGGCUAGGGGGAAGGGCGAGAUGUUGAUGCCUCAAUGUAGGGCCGGUCCCAGACUAGGAGCAGGGCAGCAGGCGACAUUCAGCAUAAGAAAGGGCUAGGGCAAAGGCGAUGUGCACCAUCCAUCUGCGACUUAAAGGAGAUGAGGCCAUCCAGCCCACCUUUUGUGAUAUUGCUCGUGCUGCUUCCGAGCAAGGAAAGGCAUCGCAGUUUGAAGGUUGAGGGUCGGCACUGACGGGGUCAUCAGGGUGACGAGUGAACAUGGACCUGGAGGUGGCACACACGAUGAAAGCUGCCAUGAGCUGGUGUAUUUCAGGUCUGAUCUGGUACGACUUCAUCGAUGCUUCUGGAUUCUUUCAUGCUAAGGUCUAAUCUGAUGCUUCUUGCUUCUGCCUGGACAAGAUGGUGUCACUGGUUGACAAGCUUCAGCUCCAGGUCACAAUUUUGAUCUGAUGCUAUCAGCAAUCUGUUCAUGUUUGUCUAGGCAGUUGUUUUCAUGUUUUUUAUGCAUUAGCAGAUGAGUAAGAGGUUUGGCACCCAGGCUUGUAUUCUGGAUGUUGUGUUGAUGUGACCAUGCUCUUUUUUUGACAUCUUUAAUGUCUAAUUGUCUUGAUUUGUUUUGCU